UACAGAGGGUGCAAGCGUUAAUCGGAAUUACUGGGCGUAAAGCGCGCGUAGGCGGCUGAUUAAGUCGGGUGUGAAAGCCCCGGGCUCAACCUGGGAACUGCAUUCGAUACUGAUCGGCUAGAGUAUGAGAGAGGGAGGUAGAAUUCCACGUGUAGCGGUGAAAUGCGUAGAUAUGUGGAGGAAUACCGGUGGCGAAGGCGGCAUCCUGGACCGGUUAUUGACGCUGAUGCGCGAAAGCCAGGGGAGCAAACGGG
rnacentral:rRNA from 1 species